AAAGCCUUAUGUCUGUUCACCUGGCUGAAUUAAUAUAUUUUGUUUCAUUUAACUUCACGAUGUAUUCAAACAUGUUGAAAGCAGCUACUUCUGUUCUGUUGAUUUGAAUUCAUGAAAGCGAAAAAUGCAUGCGUUCAUCAAUUAAUAUUUUUAUACGCGCUUUUCGCAUAAUAAAAUCUCUAAUUUUUUCCUUUGACGAUUAUAUUUAAGUAAAAUUCAGCCGAAGCUUCGUGGCUUUUUUCCAAACAAUCCUAUGGCAUUACUAUGGCAUUCUAUUACUAAAUUAAAACUUUCUUUUGUUUAAGGAUAUUUAUGGAAUCUCAUGACGAUUAUUCAAAGUUAUGAAAAUAAGUUGUCGUGUACCCAGCCAGAUGGUUACAAUGCACUCGGGUUUAAAAUGAUUGGUUGCGAUAUUUGAACAUGUUUUUAUUGAAAGUUUUUGAAAGGUUUCACUUGGUUUACUUAAAUUAAAAAAGUUUAAAAGCAAUAGCAAUGAAUUUUGAUUUUAGAGACGUUCCAUUCAAGAAGUUUUUUUUAAUAAUUCAUGAGUUGAUAUGUAAGAUGGUUUUGUAAACAUUAUUCUUCGAUUUUCUAUUGGCAUAAAAUUCAUCCAGUUAAAACUUUAACAAAUAUUUCAUGCAAACUAUUUUCGGUGUUUUAAAAUUAAGCUCAUAUAAUCACAAUGCACUUGAGAAUUUAAACUCAAUAAAGAACUUAAACUAAAUUCGAAAGCUAUUCAUAAACUUUUUCAAUUUUAUCUGAUUUGCGAAAUUUCAGUUUAUUCAACUGUUAAUCUUCUGGUAUUACGAAGAGUUCUCACAGCGCCAAGAAAUGAGUGAGUGUUUUUGAGCAUAAAACACCAGCCGUGCGCAAAAGAAGACUAGAUUUGAAAACAAAUUUAUAUUUCGACCUGAAGUUAUGUUAGGAUUCAUUUUAACUGAACUGAAGAAUACUCUACAAUUAAAUUUAUUAUCAUUAUUUUUACACAUAAUUUUUAACAAUGGUUGUUCAUAAAUAAAGACGACUUUAUUUUUUCUAUAAAUUGCUUAUCAGAUUUGAAGUCAACGAAAAGAAAAUUUAAAUUUUAUAUCGGCAACCGCAGGUAAAACUGUUUCAAUUGAGACAGCUUUUGAUCAUUAAAUUAUGCAGUAUUAUUGUUGCGUGAUAAUAUAUGAUAAGUGUUAUAAAAUAAAAGGAACUUGUGCGAACCAAUGAAUACGUUACUAUAAAUCACGCGGAAAUCCAACUAUUCAAUAAAUUUUUUCUUUAAUAAAAUAUGGUACGUCAUUUUUGAUUUAGUAAACGAAAACUCACCUGUCCAGGAAGUUUUGUUGUAGAUUUUUUUCUCGCGUAAAAGUGUUUCCAAAGUUUUUAGUUUUUAGGAAGUUAAGUUAGCUUCAAGUAAGUUUUAAAAUAUUAAAUAUGUUAUAUUUAUUAACACUAUUCUUUAAAUAAUUUUUUUAGAUAAUUUUUUUUUUAUUAUUAAAUAUUAUGUUUUGAUACGUCAUUCUACGUCAUUACUUAUAUAUAUAUAUUUUUUUAUAUUUUCAGAUUUUAUCGUACUUUAAUUUUGCAGAAUGAUGAUGUAGCGGAAGUACCGAUUUUAUAACAAAAGCAUUUAUCUAAAAUUACAGUAAAA